UUCUGGCUCAGGACGAACGCUGGCGGCGUGCCUAACACAUGCAAGUCGAGCGGGGACUGCACGACGGAUUUGAAGAUUCGGUUGGAUAUGAAGAUGUACAGUUCUAGCGGCGGACGGGUGAGUAACGCGUGAGCAACCUGUCCCUUACAGGGGGAUAACACAGCGAAAGUUGUACUAAUACCGCAUAAGACCACGGUAUCACAUGGUACAGGGGGUCAAAGGAGCAAUCCGGUAAGGGGUGGGCUCGCGUCCGAUUAGAUAGUUGGUGAGGUAACGGCCCACCAAGUCGACGAUCGGUAGCCGACCUGAGAGGGUGAUCGGCCACAUUGGGACUGAGACACGGCCCAAACUCCUACGGGAGGCAGCAGUGGGGAAUAUUGGGCAAUGGGGGGAACCCUGAACCCCAGCAACGCCGCGUGAGGGAAGAAGGUUUUCGGAUUGUAAACCUCUGUCCUAUGUGAAGAGGAAGAGACGGUAGCAUAGGAGGAAGCCCCGGCUAACUACGUGCCAGCAGCCGC
rnacentral:rRNA from 1 species